CCUACGGGAGUCAGCAGUGAGGAAUAUUGGUCAAUGGGCGAGAGCCUGAACCAGCCAAGUCGCGUGAAGGAUGACGGCCCUACGGGUUGUACACUUCUUUUGUCAGGGAGCAAUUGAGUCCACGUGUGGUCUUAGCGAGAGUACCUGAAGAAAAAGCAUCGGCUAACUCCGUGCCAGCAGCCGCGGUAAUACGGCGGCUGCGAGCGUUAUCCGGAUUUAUUGGGUUUACAGGGUGCGUAGGCGGUAUUUCCAUUCAGCGGUAAAAAUUCGGGCCUCAACCCCGUCGUGCCGUUGAAACUGAUGAUCUUGAGUGGGAGAGAAGUAUGCGGAAUGCGUGGUGUAGCGGUGAAAUGCAUAGAUAUCACGCAGAACUCCGAUUGCGAAGGCAGCAUACCUGCGCCCAACUGACGCUGAAGCACGAAAGCGUGGGUAUCGAACAGGAUUAGAUACCCCAGUAGUC
rnacentral:rRNA from 1 species